ACAUCGGUAGCACAGUGGUUAGUGCAGUCUGCCGGAAACAGCAAGACGCGGGUUCAAUUCCUGUCCGAUGUC
rfam:Nippostrongylus brasiliensis genome assembly, scaffold: NBR_scaffold0001677